GGGUGGGAUAGGAGGGGAGCUAGGCGUACCCUGUACCACAAACCGUCUUUAUGGUGGUCCGAACGCCCCCGAACGGCGCAAACGAGGCUUAGGGAUCCAGCAUGAGAACGAUGAGGUUUCGCCCCCAUGUGACCCGGGCCGGCAUGGACUCCAAUCGGAGGAUUGGAGCGAAUGCACUCGCCGGGGAAUCAGGUCAGGCCGGGAACGGAGCAGCCCGACUCGGAGUUUCGGGUGCCGUGGGAAAGCGGAACUGAGAACUCGGUUGGGACGUUUCUAAGUCUACGUGCGACAAUCGGGGGCCCUCCCACUC
rnacentral:SRP_RNA from 1 species